GCCAGCGCCGGCGGGACCCGAGCUGCUAAUGCCUCCAAUCAACAGAUCAGACAGCUUGUACUCACAGGCCAAGGACACGUGGAAAGAGGCUCAAUUUUCUAGAUGGGUGGCAACAGCCAUGAUCUUCUGUCCUCUGGGUCCCCACAAGCCUGGAUGAACUCAAGAUCUGACUCAGUGGCACAGUGAGGAGACCUUUGAGGCCUCAGUGACCAUCCUUGGACUUCACCUCUCACGGCUUUCAGGCAGAGAGGCCCUCCCAUGCCCACAACAGGCUGAGCCCAGCCUUCCUCGGGGUUUGCUUCCAGGCCUGACUUUUACUCCCCUUUCUAAGUGAUGGGAUGUGCUUCUCCACAGGAGGCCCCACGGCUUCCCCACCCCUCAGAGGAGCGCCGUGCGUGCGUCUGUGUGGAGGAUUGGCAGCUCCUGCAGUCGGCCCUUGGUCCUAUUUGGCGACGCCUCUGCCUUCCCCUUAAUUAUACAGUCAUGAGCCGCCCUGGAAUCACGGCAGCUCCGGAUGGAUCCUGGAUGCCAGAAUGCAGCCUCAGCACGGGGCUGCAGGACAGGAGUGAGCGAGGGGCUGCAGAGCCGGCGGCCGCGGUGGGCACCAUGGAGGGGGCUGCCCUGGGCAGCACGGGCAUGAGUCUCAAGGCCCAGGUUUGAGUAACAGGUGUUGAGAGCUUACUUACUUUUCCUGAGACACAGUUUCCUCAUCUCGAGAGCACGGAAAAUCAUUCUAACUUCAGAGGAUUGUUGUGAAAGUUAAAUGAGAUUAAAGAGGUAAAGCCCAUGACGUGCUUAGCUCGUGCUUGGCUCUUGGUCAAUGCCAGUUAGCGCUGCAUUUUCUCCCCUCUCCCUCCCUCCUUCUCUCUUUCUUUUCUUCUAUUCUCCAUUCCUGUUUUCUCCCCCACCCCACUCCCCAAAGCUCUGCGUUGAGAACCAGAUGCUGUCUGGUGGGUUAGGGCCAGAGGAGGAAAAGCUGCCCGCCGUGGGCUGCACCCAUACCCUCUUCAUUCCAAUGACAUGAGGGGAGGGGAAAGGACAGAGGUAGACUGUCCUCCCCUACCUCCUCCUAAUACAAAUGGAAUUCCUGGAACUGGAAAACAAAGAAUACCCCCAUAAAAAUAAGACAGUACUUCUGGUGCGGUGUAAUAAAGGGGAAAGUAACCCUCAAUGUCAGGAAACUCCGCACCUCCCAGCUCAUAUUUGUGUGGAGGAAAAGUUAAAUAUUAAUUUGGACUCAACUGAAUGUGGACACAAACAAUGGUCACCAAGUCCCGGAACAGGUUGUGUGAGCCUCUUCAGGGGUUCAUCCAGCGCUGUUUUGGAGAAAUCUCUAUUUCAAUUUAUUCCUAUACGUUAGUUACUGAAAAACAACAGACAAUCGCAAAAGCAAGUUGCCCGUUUUGUGUUCCUUGAGCCCAAUCAUGAAGUGCCGUCGUGACUGGGCCUCAUGACAAACAACUUGUAACAAGUAACAACAGAGCUCAGGUCCCAGACCGCACUGAAGCUCUGUGAGACCUCUCCUCAUCUGUGCAUGAACGAGUGUCUGACUCUGGAGCCCAGCCUGCUGCUUCCCAGUCUGGUGGUGAAUCCUCCGUAGUCUGAUGCUAAAAUUGACACCAAAAGCGUAGGUGAUGAGCUUGAAUCAGGUAAGAAUUAUAUUCUACUUCCAGCUAAAGAAGAGGAUAUAGAAGAUCAAUAGCUUAAACAAAACAGAAGGUUUGUUUCUCACCCUUCCUGUAAUAGAAAUCUGGCAAUGAGCAAACAUGGUAGUAUUUAUAUUCUGAGUUCUUGUCACAUUAUUUUCAUUUUCAGGUCUUCUCAUGGACUAAAACAGUGACAGUGAGUGCAACUCUACCUAUCAUGUUCAUAUUCUAGGUAGAAACUGGGGAAAAGAGAAAAGGCGGGAAAAAGGCGUUUCUCUACAAAGAUCACACAUAAUCUUCUGUCUGCAUCUCAUUGGUCGGCAUUUAGUCACAUGGCCAUAACUACCAGCAAGGGAAGCUGGGAAAUGUAGUUUUUCAAUGGCACAUUGCUACCCUUAAUAAAAUAAGGAUAUGCUACCAACAAAGAAUGAAUAUGGGAAAGGCCCCUAGCAAUGUCUGCUGCAUCUGCCACUGUGGUUUUCUCUGAUUUCCACAGACAUUGCUCUUCCACAUAGAGCGCAUUCUGAUUCCCAAGCCACCACUCCCAAAUCACACCCAGUUUCUGCAUCUAGCUUGUGUGUGGGCAGUCUGCUCCAUCAGUCCCAGAUGUGGCUUCUCAUGGCUGGUGACCUAUGAACUAAAAGACAGGCCAUUUUUUUCCCAACCUACCCUACCUUUUCUCCUUGAGAGGAAAGAUAAAAUAACCACAAUUUAAAAAUGUCAAUCUUCCAUUCAGAAAAGGGAGGAAAGAGAAACACAGAGAUCACUGGUUUACAGUGAUGGACCCACCCUGCUAGGCAGGAGUGAAAAGGCCUCUCCGUCCGGCAGUGGACUGGGUUCCUUGGCUGGCCCAUGUGGUCCCCACCCACUGUCUCCAGGAGCAUCGCCUUGAACUGUGUCUUCAUGGCUUUUGGCUCCGCCUUCAGAAGGGUCCUCCCUGUCAAUCAUCCUCCAUUGCCACCUCUGAUGUGGGCACUAGGGAGCUGGUCCUUCCCAGAGGAUGCAUGAUUUUGACACCGUGCAGUGUGGGAUGUUGGACCAGGGAAUCCAGCAUAUUUUCGGGCUUUUGUAGUCUCAGACUGGGCCUGAGAUUUCUUUAGAAAUAUAUUAACGGUUCCUUCAACACUCCAAUGGGCAUAUAGCCUAUUUACUUCUGAUCAUUGUAAUGUGCAAAUAACCACAGCCCCAUUUCUUUGUGUCCAGAUGCAGUUUUUAGGCUUGAAUAUUCAUCUGUUUUACUCACUGGCCUCUGUCACUGAGUCUGUCCCCUUAGCUAUUAAAUUAAUGGUGACUAUGAUAACACUUUUCACCCGAUCCUUGCUAGUGCAUUGACUUGCGUUGUCUGCAUCGAGUUCUUAAAAGAUGCUUGGUAAAGUCUUGGGUCACAGUUUUAACUUCUGCUGGGGUUCCUGCUCCACAGCCCUCAUUUAGAACUGUUUCACUUUGGCUAUUGUUUAGCUUUGGGCCAUAUUUGGCUGUUUUUUAGCUUUGUAAAAAUGCUCAUUUAACGGACACAAGGCCUGGGUUAGAAAAUGUAGUAUUUCCUUCCCCCUCUGUUUGCGUAGGAGCUAGCGCUAGUGGAAGCCCAUCUCUCCCUUGCAGGAUUUUGUGGAAAGUGACGAAAAUAACUCAAACCACAUCAGUGUUCUGCUUGAUUUCCACCAUUCUUGGAUGCUAUAACUUCAGAAAGCACAUGAUCUAACUUCCCAAGGGACAGCAGGGCCUCGACCAAAUGCCGUUGUGCUGAGGGCUGCCGGCCGCCCCGCUAGGCUGCUGCACCCUCCCCGCGCUGCCCCACACCUUGCACAGAGCUCAGGCAGCAUUCUAGCACCAUCAGACAAAUUCUUCAUGAGUCAGAAAUCGCACCUGUCUCUUAAUAGCGAUCUGGCCUCAGGUGGCUGAAACACACAGGGUUGAAAUGCUGCGGUGCCUGCGCUCAUUGUGCGGUGAAGCCAUAGAGUCCGCGCUGAAACCCGGGGCGCCCGCCUCCUGUCCGCGCAGGCGCUGCACGCUGUCGCCGGGGCAGCUUCACUCAGCUUCAGCCUCUCCAUCUGCAGAGGAGGAGUAAUCCCGUGCUGCCUCAUGGGGCCGUUUCAAGAAGGAAAUGAGAUGUGGUAUAAAGUGUUAGAGGAGUAUUUAGUGUUAUUAUUAAUGUGUUUUCUCAUCUGGGAACAUGAUUUGCAUUUUAAGCAGAACUUCAACAUUUGGACUCAAAGGAGUGAUGUGGAUGGGGAGAAUUUCAGGCAUCGUGCAGGCUGGCAUUAGAAAUGCUCACCGGAAAUGGAGCACAGGCAGCAACUUCAGCCCCUAGAAUUCUUCCUCCUAUGUCACUUCCGUCCCUCAAACCCUUUCUGCAGCCCCUGUCCUCUCUCCUGCAAUGGCAGUGAGCAGGUGGUCUCCUGGUGUCUCUGGAAAAUUCCCAUAUGGAGUCCUGGUUGAGAUGAGCCAGAAGGCUAGGAAGGAGCCUACAGUCCCGGUCUCAGCGCCCAGGAGGUUUUUCUAAUGGAGUUGGCAUGCAGAAGCUGGGGCAUACCCUGGGAGCAGCCCUGUGGCUGGAUGAGGGAUGGACAGCAGCACUGGGCGGGUGGAGCCGGGUGCGAGGUCCCCACAGCCUGCCUCCCAGUCCCACUGGCCAGCCCGGGGAGGGUGCUGAAGACAGGCUUCCUCUCUGGUCAAGCUCUGGCUAGCUUGGCAAGUGCAGGCAGGACCCUGGACCUGCCAUAUGGUGCACAUUUUGAGGACAUCAUUAGCAGGUUUGGAAGGUUGUGAUUCUGGUUGUGGGAGAGAAGGAACCUGGGAGUUGAGCAGGUGGUGGGUGGAGCUAUGCAUGCAACUGAGUGUGAGGAGUGCUUUGGCCAUGCUAGGGUCUCCUCUGGGCUGGAAGCCUUGUCUUCAAGAGGGUUGGGGUAGGAGGCUUUUUAUUAUAGUGGGAAGCCUCAAGCCUGGACCUGGGAAAACACUUUCUGGGUAUGAGGAAUUAAAAUAAACCUUGAAGCACUAUUUAGGAAGAACAUAGUAUCACUUCAUAGAUAUUUUCCCCCCUAAAUGGUUACAAAGUAAAAUGGCAGAGGUACAAAGAGGAAAAUGAAAACCACCCAAUCCCUUCCCUGAGCGAUGGCCCUGUUAUCCUUGGGCUCUGUGGCCAUCUGACCUCUCUCUGGGGACAGAAGUACAUGAGGAGAGGGGCCACUUCAUAAGACGGAGAUGCUCUCUUCCUGUUCCCUGCCUCUGCAUCGUGCUGGGGAUGUCUGUCCUCAUCAACUAAGAGACCCAUGUAGACCGCAGCUCUGAGAUCUUCUAUUUUUGUAAACAGAACAGUUUGUAGGGAGAUGUGAGAUGUUAGGUGGUGCUGGAGAGCCUGGGCUUUGUCUGUUUGGACAAGGCUCCAUCAAGGCAUCCUUUGUCCGACGGUGAGGCAUCUUGAGGGCUCUGGACCCAGAGCUGGUCCUGCAAGAGUCCUGUCUGAGAGCCCAGGCCCCACUCCACUAGGAGGGACAGGAGGGAACAGAGCAGAGCUGAGUCCCUUCACCUACCCAAACCCAUACAUGUUUCUAGAGCAGAGUAACUGCUUGUGAAACAGACCAUCAGAGCACAGGGCAGCACCGAGCUGCGUUCUGCAGGGCUCGGUCUAGGUGAUCUGGAGGGCUUGGGGAGCUGGCUUCUCCCCUCAUCCAGCAUGUAGCUACCCACAGCCACCUGCAUUUCACAGGGCCAGUGCCUAGGGACAUUGGGCCAGAAGCCAGAAUUUCUUUUUUCUUUUUUUUUUUCCCCUCUAGCAUUCACUACUAGCGCAAGCUAGUGCAUCCCAAAGUUUUGGCCCUGCGUGGAUAAUCAAUCCACAAUUUAUCUUCCGUCUGUUGCCAAAGUAAUUUAGCUAAAAUGCAGAUCUCAACUGGUCACUUCCCUGCGUAAAAGCUUCAAUAGCUUUCUAUCGCCUACAGGCAAAAGUCCCUCUUCUGAAAAGCGGCUUGCAAAGCCCUAGUAGCUGGCUCCAUGCCCCCCAGCAAUACGUGGCCUCCUCAGACGCAUCUUCUAGCAAAGGAGAGCUGCUCAGUGACAUCCACAAACCGAGCUGCUUCUCACCUACCUGUUUUCCUUCUCUUUGGGAUGCCCCCCGCCCUCACCUUCUGCUUCUGGCUAACUCCUAGGCAUCCUUGAAGGCUUGGCUCAGUAUCCUCUCCUCCAGGAAGCUGUCCCUCACCUUCUCUCCUUUCCCUCCAUCCCAGUCACCAUGCACCACACCCAUAUCCCCAUUGCAUCCUGCAGCUACCUUGUGCCUGCACACGUUGGGCUGGGCAUGCAUCUCCUUCUCUCUCAAGACCUGGAUCCCUUCACUUUGUGUCUCUGGACCCCCCAGUGUGCUGAUAAUGGGGUUGGAACCCAUCAUAUUUCUCUUGAACGAGUUAAUGAUGGGACUGCUAUUUCUCUAACUGUUGCCUUGGAGGCCCUGUCACGUGCUCAUGGAAGAGAGCCAGGGGGGUGGAGGUGAUUCUUGUUACCCAGAGGACGUGGGGUCUGGAUACACGUUUCUGCCAUCUGCCAUCUGCCAGCUUCUUUCUGGUUGGUAGCUUUGGAGCCUGGUGCAGCUGGGGCCAGUCCCGAGCCUGGACUCUGCUGGGCAGUGGCAAGAGCACUGUCUGGAGCUCUCCUGAGGAGCCCACAGAUCCAACUCCCUAGGCCAAGGCUGCAGCCUGGGGCAGAGAUGCAGAGGCCUGGAGGAGCCUAGGGCACGCGGCCUGCGGGCUGGCUGGGGUUCAGAGUUCGUAUGUGUGUGGAGUGACUGGGCAGGUGUUCAGAAAUGAAGGCUGGCACUGCCAGGUAAGGCCCUUCCCUCCCUGAUGUGAGAGCCCUGGAGCCACCGCAGAGGCCCAGUCAGAUCUCUGUUCUAAUUCUGGCCUGGUGUGGAGGAUGAGGAGAGACGGCCCAGAAAGGAAGGCAGACUGUGCAGACCCCAUGUCUUCUGGCCCGCGAGGCCCUCCUCCUGUGCCUGCUUAUCUUAAAGAAUCCGGGAUAAGAGGUGACUUGGGCCUUGGCCGGGAGGCCCCUCCUCAGCUUCAGACAAGGAGGGAGCUCUGGGCAUGAGGACAUUGAGCAAGAGGCGAUGGCAGUGCCCACAACUUACCCUCAGCUCGGCUCUGUUGGGUCCGAGAAGUUGCAUGGAAAGGGCUCCUUGGGGGCCAGUUGUCAGUAAGCUGCAGAAGCCUGGAGCCGGCCAGGAAAUAACCACGUGUAGGAGCCUUCUCAGCUGAGAGGAAGGAGGACUCACGCGCGGCGAGCACAUGCUUGGAGCCAGGCACAGAGUGAAGAUGCGCAGUUCUAAGGAAUUAUGCCCAAUGGCAGAAUUGGCAAGGGACAGGGAACUGUCCAGCAGAGAAGCUGCUGAAACCCUUCAGGGAACAUUCCAUUCCGCCAGGGCCCGGCUCUCACGCUCUGCUCUGCAGCGCAUCCGGUGCCAAGGAGGGGAGUAGCGAACGUUGACCUUGUCCCUAAGGAGCUUACACGCAGGGAGGUCAGCACAGACACUGGAAUAUCUAGGACUCUGCUAUCGAAAAACACAAUUGCUGGCACAUGGGUUCAGAAGACAGAGAAGGAAAAGAGCUGUAAAGAGUUGGGUGGGCUGAGGUUUGAAAUGGGCUUUAAUUAUGACUGGACACAAUUUGGUGACAAAUGGGUGAAAUUUCAAGCAGAAGAGGUAGCAUGAGCAAAAAGGGGUGUGCAGUCUUUGUGAAGAGAAGGGGGAGGGAGUGGCAAGGGAAUAGGACAGAGAGGAGGAGGAGGGAGAGGAAGCCAGAGAUAAGGAGCCAGGGGGGGAAGAAAAGGGCAGAAACGAAUGUGAAGGAGAUUCUGAAGACAAGCCACUGUGGUGGUCCAGGUGGUUCCAUGGUGCCGCGCCAAGCCAGGGGCUUGGAAUUUAGUCUGGGAGGAUGGUGCUGAGUAUGGAUGAGGAAGGAGAGGAAUGGAGAGGGGAGAAACGGGAAGGUACUUCACACUGAUUAAGCAAGCUCCUCACAGGGCUAUGACUUCUCCCUUCUCAGAAGGAGGUGCCCUGUGGCAUGCCUCUAGGCCCAGAGUUAAAGAGCUGGAGCCAUUAGGAGCAGCAAGGGGCUGCCUCCCCACUUGUCUGGUUACUUCUGGUUACUUCUCCCUCAGGGUAAGUCCUCAUGAGGGAUCAUCUCUGCCCAUGGAGCUGCUUCCGCUGCCCUUAGGCUGGUGUAAGAGGAAGGCUGUGUACCAGAGGUAGAUCUUGCUCCUAGUCCACCAGCAAAACACAUCCAGUUAUUUCUAUGCCUCAGUCUCCCUUCCCCACACUGAUCUCUUUAUUCCCCUACUACCUAGAAAUGGAAGGGAGACAAUGAGGUGGGAAAUAGAGUUUUUCGAAAGGUGUUUUUUGGAUAAGACAAAGGCCUCUCAGAGCAGAGCUGGCCAUUGGAAUGGUUUCCUUUUGUUAUUUAAUACCGGGGCUUUCACACAGGAGUUUAGCCCAGCUUUUAAGUCUUCAGUAUCAAAUAGUAGUUGGUGUCACAUCCCUGCUGAAAUACAGCCAUGAAAAUGUUUCUUAGUGAUAGAUUUAGGUUGUACUCCUUAAGAAAAGCCCAAAUGUCAAGAAUUGCUUCCCACUGGUACACUUUAUUGGGGAGAAGGGCAUCUCAAAUAGAAGGAUGGUUGGUCUGUCUAGAAAUGGUAAGAAUACUACAGGUUAAAGGCAGUGGUGGUCUGGACUAAAUGACCCCUGAAACUCGGAUUUUAUGGUGUUUUCAAUCUCUGGCUGAGUACAGGUUCCUCCCUCUCCCUUUGUGCCUCCUUGGGGACCUGGGCUAUUUUCUCCUCCGUGAAAGAGAAUGGAUACAUCCAUUAUGAAAACCAAUUGAUAUAAUUUGAGCCUGCAUGCAGGUAAAAACUAUAUUAAGAAGGUUUAUAAAAUCUAACCUUCUGGCUUAACAAGCUGAUUCUCAAAGUGGCCUCUCAGACCCUGGCUGAGGGAUGGUGGUCAGGGGUUGCAGAGGGACCCGCACAGCUGCUGAGGAGGCUGUGGGACAGGAGGCGCUAUCACUGUCUACCUCUUCCAUCCAUGCACCUGUGUGCAGGUGUGAGAAGGGCACCGUGCUGCAAAGAAGGGUCCUUUCCACCCUCUGCGGGUUGCUGCCGGCUCCCCGAUGCCUGCCUCUGAGGCCUGAGCCUGGGGCUGGGGAGUGUGCUGGCCUCACCUCUGGAGGAUACUGCCUCAGUGUUACAGCCUGACCCCCCACCUUGUCAUCACUGCCUACUACAGACCAGAGGGGACGGCCACAGAGACUCUGCAACCAUGGGCUCUGCCCUUCUUCCUUCUGCCUGUGUAUCUGUGAAAAACUUUUUUUUUUUUAAAUGGAGAAAGCUACCUUGACUUCUCAGAGAGUUGAAUGGGGUCAGGGGAUAGAAUCUAUAUUUUUUAGUUAUGGGCACUUACCCAUAUUCAAAAAGAUUUGAGGAGGCUGGCAGAAUGGAGCUGGGAGAAGAAAACCCUCCCCUGGGAGGAAGCUGUCCUGUGCAUGUUGGCCAGGCUGCCUCUUUGAUUAGGGACAAUGGAAACCGGCCUGAGGGCACGGGUGAAAGCAGUUGAGUGUAGAGGAGGCUCUGCAGCAGAAGCCAGAGGACACAGGAGCCAGUGAAGACACACAAUAAGUCAGAAAGGAGGGAUCUUUGCAGCCCCAAAAGUAGAAAUUCUUACCAUCUACUGCAAAGAGCAAAAGUUGAAAAUUGGUCUGAUUUCUAUCUAAAUGUGCUUACAUAUUCGUGUUCUGUUAAAUACUUCUGUAACCUGUGUGUCUCACAUAAAUGCAGCUUUCUUUAGUUUUGGAAAUAAAUCACAUGAAUCCUGAAUAGUAGUCUUUAAUAAUUUGCUUAGUUGUAGGGCAGUGUUGUGUUUUCAGAAGGCAAGUGUAUUUGCUAGAAGAGUGAGCUGGGAGGUGUGAACCACAUCGUCACAUCUGCUGUAAGCCUAGCCGUUCAUAAUACGGAGUUACAGUUAGGACACGUCGCCCUGAAGAGCUACCAUCGAAUGUGUGCUCAUCAAAUGCCUGGCAGCGUCCUCGGUGCUUCACCUGCCAUAGCCGACAGUGGCUGACCUCCCAUGCCUGUUGCCUUUUCUUUCUGUUGGAUCAGGGAUACACUGCCAUGUGUGUUAAGAAAAGCUGGCCUUACCUACAGGGCUGGCCAGUCCCGGUCACGUUUCUAGUAAGCCAUUGCCUUACAUAAGGGUAACGGCAUGGGACGCUAUCUUAGCCAAUGUGAUAAAAGUGGACAUGAGGUGAGAGGCUUCAGAGAGAGGUUUUAAAAAAGAGACAAAAGCAGGACGUUGCCUCUCUUCCUCCUCUCCACGUGUCCUACCCGGAUGUGAAGCCAAAACAGAUGCAGGCUUAGUGCAACCAUGGGGAACCCAGCAUAAGCACAGAUUCAACAGCAGAAGAGUGGCAGAGGGAGAAGGUGAAAGGAACCUAGGUUUUCCUGUCCUUGUUGAGUCAUUCAGUUAAAAAUCCCUGGAAUUUUCCUCUCUCCGGCAGUGUGUUUUGUGGGAUAAUGAGUUGCCUUAUUGGGGUUGGCUUGCUAGUCGGGAUGUUUCGCUCCCAUCAACAUCCAUACGCUUGCUCUGUGAACCAAUGACCUGAUGAGGUAGUAUUAGCACCACCAUCAUUAUGCUGAGGAUGAGAUUUAUGGCACAGUGGUUCAGUAGCUUGCCCAAGGCCAUGCGGCUGGUAGGUUCUGGAGGAGGGCUCAGGGCACCCCCUGAGCUACCCCUGCUGGCCAUUGCACCACCCCAUAAAGCUGCUGGCAGUCACUUCUCUGAGGGGUUAGCAUGUAAGAAAUGUCCUCCUGAAUGCUGGCCAGACAAAUGGAAAUCUGCCAGGGUUGGGUACCCCCAUGACAGCAGCCAGCCUGCCCUCUUAGUCCCUGACAGCUGCAGUGACAGCAUCUGUGAUUGCAAAGCGUGACAAUUUAUAUCUCUCAUUUCAUCACACCAUCUAUCAGCAGACAGUCAGGCUUUAAAAAUCAAUCCCACACUGACUCAGUCCCCAGCAGAGAUGGCCUCUGACAACAGUAUCCACACUGCAGGCUGGACAAGGGCCCUAUUAAUUUUGAGACUCAGCCAAAUUUCCUUCUGACCCUAAGCUGGUGAAUCCCUGCUCCUUUGCUUUGGUUGGGGUUGGUGUGAGCUAAGGCUGUGAUCCCAUUUGCUCCUAUGGCCUCCAGGUGGCCUGGGCCUCCAUGAAUGGGCCACAUGGUCAUACUGAAUGCUUGAUUACACUCAGACCUAGCAGUCGUCUGGGCGCAGCUGGUUUAUGGAUCACUUUGUCACAAUGUUCCAUCCUUCCAGGUCCCCAUCCCCGCGGUGGGAAAACAUUGCUUUAGGCAGUGCUAGAGGACUUCAGCAGGCAUUGGCAGCUUCUGGAUUCAGGAUUAGAACAAAGAAGGAGGAGUCACAGCAAAGAUAGGAACAGAAGGCAGAGAGAACAGACAGAUGGGGGUGUUUGAGAAGGAGGGCCUUUGAGACCUCAGGGAGUGGGAGACACUGGCUCGAGAAUAAUAAUAAUGGCAAUUUCUCUCAUCUGUGUUUUCAGGGCAUGGACUGGAACUCCCAAUACCCCUGACAUGGGCUGAGUCAACGUGGUCAUGAACAUGUGACAGGAGGCAGCAGAAGUUGCAGAGAAGAGUGAGGCACGUUUGAAAAAGGCUGAAAAAUGUUUCUGUCCAGGCAAGGGUGUGUGCUGAAUGACUCAAGGAUUUUUUGGUGCAUUGAAUGAACAGCGGGACAUUGGACACCUGCUGAUCCAUCACCCCGGGCCCGGGCAGGCCCGUGGAUGAAGAGAGAUGGAGAAGACCAGGCAUGAGACUGUGGAGAAGCCACACCACCAGAAACCCCUGCCCCAUGCGCCGUCCAGCCCACACCUGUGGAUGCACGGGGGAUUGCAGGCAGGGCUCCCACCGUGGACUCAGGAACAGGCAGGGAAGCUGCUGCCUCACCAGGCGAAGGGGCCAGGAGGGGGAGGCGGAGAGGCCCGUCUAGCCCCUGCGGCUGUCACCGUGGUGCCUCCUCACUGGCCAGUGCGGUCGCGCCUCAGCUUCGUUAAUAGGGGAGGGGGCCUAAGAGUUUUCACGUCCAGGCUCGGGCAGUGGGGAGGCAGGCAGGAGUGGCCGCUGGUUUUUCAGACCUCCCAGGGAGGCCGAGGAAAUGGCCCGUCCUGGAGUGGGCGUGGUUCUGUCUUCAGAUGGAUGCUGGAGGGUUGGGCUGCGUGGGACCCUGGGCCCUGCUGCUUCCCGGAGGAUGCGCUGUCCGGGGCUGCACAGGUUGGCUGUGUUUUUUGGAUGCUUGAUAUUUUGUUUUUUCUUCUCUUCACUCUGUCAUGAAACUGGCAAUAGUAGUUUGUAAAUAAAUAUGUGUUAUAGAUGAAUAUUUGCUAUGAGUAAAUUAAUAAAGGAGUGAAUAAAUGAGCGAUUGAUGUAGGGCCUGUCCUGUCUCAGGGAGCCCCACGAAGGCCUGCGCGCCGGCCAGAGCCUGCCUGCCUGCCAGGGUACUGGGACGUCACUCUCAAAGCGGCGGGACCCAGCCGCUGAUCUUGCUGAGGAGGCCCGGUCUCAGAAAACUGAGCGGCUGCUUCUGCAGACCCUGCAUCCUCCCCUCCCUGGAGAAAGAAGCUCUGGCUGAGUCCUGGGACCGAACCCUUGGGUGCCACAGAAACGGGCUUUGCUGCCUGUCAGUCAAGCGGCGGGAGAAACAGACCUGGGGAGGAGGAGGCUGGGAGGGCUGUGUUUUCUGCACAGCGAGUAGCUCCUUAGCCUGGUGCCAUUUCUCUCCAAACACCCUGAAGGUUGAGUCCAGGGUGAAGAUGUAGAGGCAAGUUUUGGGGGGAUGGAGUGGGCUUGGAGGGAUGCUGGCGCCUUAGCAGGCUGUGCUCCUGAGGUGCCCAGUGUCUGCGGGCACAGGAACAUGUUGCCGAGGGCAUUUGGGUGUGGGUGGGGUGGGGAAAGGGAGACAGGGCUGUCUCUUUUAAUGGGUAUCUGCGAGCAUGUGAUUGUAAGAGAGGAAGAAGUAGGGGAGGAAGAAGGCCUCCUUGGGAGGUGCGUCAUCCUGAGGAAGGCUGAACAAUGAGGGUCUUGGAGAGUCAAUUCAGAAGCACAACCUUGCAGAGCAGGCAAAAACAAUAGGGCUUCUUGAGGCUGCCCGGGCACUCAUGCAAUCACCAUUUCCUGCUGUGAAUGAGCCUACAUUUUGUUGGGGAAGAGACGCAACGACGCCAAACGAUGGACUCUGAGUCAACGAUAAGAUGAAACAAAAUUAAAACAAAGUAGGAAAUCAAGAGUGGCUGCUGUGAUGGCGUUGCGGAGAUGAUGUUUGCUUUGAGAACUGGACAAGUGAGCCCCUGAGCUGCAUCUGCACCCAGAGGCUGAGCCGGUGCACAGGACUUGCAGAGGGAUGGGCCUGGGCUUGUAGAGCAGCACAACGGCCCCAGGCCUGGAGGAGCAAGGGUGGGAAGGGGGGCAGGCCAGCUCCUGCCAGGCUGGAGAAGGACUCGGACCUCAGGCCACCUGUGCCUGGGUGAUUGUGAACUUGUAACAAAUGUGAUCUUAUUUAUGUUUUGAAAAAGGCAACACAAACCAACACGAGCCGUGUGAGGAUCAGGUGACAGCUGCCCAAAAGCUGACACAAGGAACAAGCCUGGAGGAGUGAGGAUGGGUGCUGUGAAGGAGGUUGUGCAGCUGGGCCCGCAGUCGGACCUGGUGAGAUCAGAGGAGGGGGUGCCACCAGUCUGUGGACGAAGAUGAGAAGCUGGAAUAGAGCAGAAAACAGGAGGCUGCCACUCUCCAUCUUUCCCAAAGUCACUCCAGGAGCAAGGGUGUCAUUUACUGAAAUGACAGACUCUCCAUUUCACAUUUUUCCCCCAAGUGCAGAGUGCAGGGAAGCAGAUGGGCUAAAUUUUUAGAGUCAGGGUUAUUAAUGUAUACUUUACAUAGUAAACUUUCCCCUUUUAAGUGUGCAGGCCUGAGGUUUGCCAAAUAUGUGUAGGCAUUUAAUCACCACCACGAUCAAGAUGUAGAAUAUUCCCACUAUCAAAAAGUUUGCUGUGUCCCUUGAUGGUCAUGCCCCAUUCCACAGCCCCAGCCCCAGCCCCUGGAGAUUGCUGUCUGCUUUAUGUUCCAGUGGUUUUAUCUUUUCCAGACUGUAUGGAUGUGAAUGGAAUCAGAUGUGAUUCCAAGGUGUUUUAUCUUUUCCAGAUGUGAAUGGAAUCAGAUGUACGAAAUCCUAUGGUAGGGGGUCUUCUGAGUCUAGCUCCUUUUGUUUAGCGUGAUGCAUUUGAAAUUAAUCCAUGUCUCAGGCAUCAGGAGUUCAUUUCUUUUUCUGCUGAGUAGUAUUUCAUUGUAUGGAUGUACUGCAAUUUGCCUAUCCAUUCACCUGUUGAUGUACAUUUGAGAUUUUUGGCAAUUAUGAAUAAAGCUGCUAUAAACAGACAUGGAUUUUAUGUAGACACGUCUUCAUUUCUGUUGAGUAAAUAACAAGGCAUGAGAUUUCUGGGCCAUAGGGUAAAUGUGUGUUUCACUUUAUAAGAAACUGACAAGCUGUUUCCAAAGCGGUUGCUCCAUUUUGCAUUGUGUGAGCGUUUUAGCUGUUCUGCGUCCUUUCCAGCACCUGGUGUGCCCAUUUAAAAGACUUCAGCCACUCUCAAUAGGUGUGUAGGACUGGACUUAAAUUUAAAUUUGAGAGGCAUCAGUAUGUGUGUGUGUGCCUUUCACACCUCCACAGUCACCGGCCACAUGCACUCGUAAGGAGUGAACACACACAGCAGCUGGGAAAGGUCUGAGCAAAGGGCCAUGGGCAGGGCACCCAGCUAGACAGAAGGAAAUCAAGGACCGUGCUCUAUGGUCCAACCAAGAAAGGAUUUUAAAAAGAGAGAGUGAGCUAGUGGCCAAUUGUUGCUGAAUGCCUGCAUAUGAUAAAGAGUGAAAAUUGAGCACUGGAUUUAGAAAGAUGGUGGUUUUUGUUGACCUUGACAAGAGCAGUUCCAGGGUUGCAGCAGUGAUGAGACCUGCAUGAGAGGGAGUUCAGGAGGGCAGGGACUUGGGCGAUGGGACUGGCUCCUCAUCCAAGAUAGGGCAGUGGAGUCUGCAGGCUGUGUCUCCAAUUUUCUCCUUUCUCCUUAGUAAUAGAAAUCUAAAUUUAUUUAG
rnacentral:lncRNA from 1 species